rnacentral:rRNA from 1 species
UACGAAGGGGGCUAGCGUUGCUCGGAAUCACUGGGCGUAAAGCGCACGUAGGCGGGUCUUUAAGUCAGGGGUGAAAUCCUGGAGCUCAACUCCAGAACUGCCUUUGAUACUGGCAAUCUCGAGUCCGGGAGAGGUGAGUGGAACUGCGAGUGUAGAGGUGAAAUUCGUAGAUAUUCGCAAGAACACCAGUGGCGAAGGCGGCUCACUGGCCCGGUACUGACGCUGAGGUGCGAAAGCGUGGGGAGCAAACAGG